rnacentral:snoRNA from 1 species
UUAAAUCGGUCCUGUUUGUGGGUUAUAAGUGAAAAGCUGUGACAAGCUGAUCUUGCUAGCCACAACGAGGAGCUGUAGUGUUUCCUUCUGAGCAUGACAAUGGCGGAGAGUGCUGUUCUAUGGCAGCUGCUUUCUGCUGUAGAAGAGUGUCUUGCUCUUCCUGAGAAGAGCAGGGGAAGGGUGCACAGUCUGAGUGGU